rnacentral:miRNA from 10 species
UUCCGGGUAGUGUAAACAUCCUACACUUUCGGCGUCUGCCCUCAUGUGGCCGGGAGUGGGACUGUUUGCGCUGCCCGGCU